GACGAACGCUGGCGGCGUGCUUAACACAUGCAAGUCGAACGGAAAGGCCCUGCUUUUGUGGGGUGCUCGAGUGGCGAACGGGUGAGUAACACGUGAGUAACCUGCCCUUGUCUUUGGGAUAACUUCAGGAAACUGGGGCUAAUACCGGAUAGGAGCUCCUGCUGCAUGUUGGGGGUUGGAAAGUUUCGGCGGUUGGGGCUCGACUCGCGGCUUAGCAGCUUGUUGGUGGGGUAGUGGCUUACCAAGGCUUUGACGGGUAGCCGGCCUGAGAGGGUGAACGGCCACAUUGGGACUGAGAUACGGCCCAGACUCCUACGGGAGGCAGCAGUGGGGAAUAUUGCACAAUGGGCGGAAGCCUGAUGCAGCAACGCCGCGUGCGGGAUGACGGCCUUCGGGUUGUAAACCGCUUUCGCCUGUGACGAAGCGUGAGUGACGGUAAUGGGUAAAGAAGCACCGGCUAACUACGUG
rnacentral:rRNA from 1 species